rnacentral:rRNA from 1 species
UACGUAGGGUGCAAGCGUUGUCCGGAAUUAUUGGGCGUAAAGAGCUCGUAGGCGGUCUGUCGCGUCGGAUGUGAAAACCCAGGGCUCAACCCUGGGCCUGCAUUCGAUACGGGCAGACUAGAGUUCGGUAGGGGAGACUGGAAUUCCUGGUGUAGCGGUGAAAUGCGUAGAUAUCUGGAGGAAUACCGGUGGCGAAGGCGGCAUCCUGGACCGGCAUUGACGCUGAUGAGCGAAAGCUAGGGGAGCAAACGGG